CUGGGAUAACUCUGGGAAACUGGGGAUAAUACCGGAUAUUAGGCUAUGCCUGGAAUGGUUUGCCUUUGAAAUGUUUUUUCGCCUAAGGAUAGAUCUGCGGCUGAUUAGGUCGUUGGUGGGGUAAUGGCCCACCAAGCCGAUGAUCGGUACGGGUUGUGAGAGCAAGAGCCCGGAGAUGGAACCUGAGACAAGGUUCCAGACCCUACGGGGUGCAGCAGGCGCGAAACCUCCGCAAUGUACGAAAGUGCGACGGGGGGAUCCCAAGUGUCAUGCUUUUUUGUAUGACUUUUCAUUAGUGUAAAAAGCUUUUAGAAUAAGAGCUGGGCAAGACCGGUGCCAGCCGCCGCGGUAACACCGGCAGCUCGAGUGGUAGCUGUUUUUAUUGGGCCUAAAGCGUUCGUAGCCGGUUUGAUAAGUCUUUGGUGAAAGCUUGUAGCUUAACUAUAAGAAUUGCUGGAGAUACUAUUAGACUUGAAGUCGGGAGAGGUUAGAGGUACUACCGGGGUAGGGGUGAAAUCCUAUAAUCCUGGGAGGACCACCUGUGGCGAAGGCGUCUAACUGGAACGAUCUUGACGGUGAGUAACGAAAGCCAGGGGCGCGAACCGGAUUAGAUACCCGGGUAGUCCUGGCCGUAAACGAUGUGGACUUGGUGUUGGAAUGGCUUUGAGUUGUUCCGGUGCCGAAGGGAAGCUGUUAAGUCCACCGCCUGGGAAGUACGGUCGCAAGACUGAAACUUAA
rnacentral:rRNA from 1 species